rnacentral:rRNA from 1 species
CACGUAGGGGGCAAGCGUUGUCCGGAUUUAUUGGGCGUAAAGAGCUCGUAGGCGGUUCGCUAAGUCGGGUGUGAAACCUCCAGGCUCAACCUGGAGACGCCACCUGAUACUGGUGUGACUCGAGUCCGGUAGGGGAGCGUGGAAUCCCUGGUGUAGCGGUGAAAUGCGCAGAUAUCAGGAGGAACACCAGCGGCGAAGGCGGCGCUCUGGGCCGGAACUGACGCUGAGGAGCGAGAGCGUGGGUAGCAAACAGG